rnacentral:rRNA from 1 species
CACGUAGGGCGCAAGCGUUGUCCGGAAUUAUUGGGCGUAAAGAGCUCGUAGGCGGUCUGUUGCGUCCGCUGUGAAAACCCGGGGCUUAACCCCUGGCUUGCAGUGGAUACGGACAGACUAGAGGUAGGUAGGGGAGAAUGGAAUUCCCGGUGUAGCGGUGAAAUGCGCAGAUAUCGGGAGGAACACCGGUGGCGAAGGCGGCCUUCUGGGCUUGUCCUGACGCUGAGGCGCGAAAGCGUGGGGAGCGAACCGG